UCCCUGGUGGCUCAGUGGUAAAGGGUCUGCCUGCCAAUGCAGGAGACACAGGUUAGACCCCUGAUCUGGGAG
rnacentral:tRNA from 1 species